GGAAACCCCAUCCGGUAAGGACUAACCAAUCCACCGGUAGCGAGUCUUGGAACCGAAGCGGUAACGUUAGGUUUAAGCGUAGACAGUUAGGUGGCAGGGACGGCUAUUGAGCGCCGAAAUACCCAAUUCGCAGGGCAAUGCUGUUGUCAGAGCAGAAGCCAACAUGUGAAGUAUCGUUUUGGUGAGAUGCUUUACACUGCGGCGGCGUCGGAAGGAU
rnacentral:ncRNA from 1 species